GAUGAACGCUGGCGGCGUGCCUAAUACAUGCAGGUCGAGCGAACGGACGAGAAGCUUGCUUCUCUGAUGUUAGCGGCGGACGGGUGAGUAACACGUGGAUAACCUACCUAUAAGACUGGGAUAACUUCGGGAAACCGGAGCUAAUACCGGAUAAUAUUUUGAACCGCAUGGUUCAAAAGUGAAAGACGGUCUUGCUGUCACUUAUAGAUGGAUCCGCGCUGCAUUAGCUAGUUGGUAAGGUAACGGCUUACCAAGGCAACGAUGCAUAGCCGACCUGAGAGGGUGGUCGGCCACACUGGAACUGAGACACGGUCCAGACUCCUACGGGAGGCAGCAGUAGGGAAUCUUCCGCAAUGGGCGAAAGCCUGACGGAGCAACGCCGCGUGAGUGAUGAAGGUCUUCGGAUCGUAAAACUCUGUUAUUAGGGAAGAACAUAUGUGUAAGUAACUGUGCACAUCUUGACGGUACCUAAUCAGAAAGCCACGGCUAACUACGUG
rnacentral:rRNA from 1 species